rnacentral:rRNA from 1 species
CGGGGGCAUCAGUAUUCAGUUGUCAGAGGUGAAAUUCUUGGAUUUACUGAAGACUAACUACUGCGAAAGCAUUUGCCAAGGAUGUUUUCAUUAAUCAGUGAACGAAAGUUAGGGGAUCGAAGACGAUCAGAUACCGUCGUAGUCUUAACCGUAAACUAUGCCGACUAGGGAUCGGGCGAUGUUCUUUUUCUGACUCGCUCGGCACCUUACGAGAAAUCAAAGUUUUUGGGUUCUGGGGGGAUUAUGGUCGCAAGGCUGAAACUUAAAGAAAUUGACGGAAGGUCACCACCAGGCGUGGAGCGCUGCGGCUUAAUUUGACUCAACA